AGUGAACGCUGGCGGUAGGCCUAACACAUGCAAGUCGAACGGCAGCACAGGAGAGCUUGCUCUCUGGGUGGCGAGUGGCGGACGGGUGAGGAAUACAUCGGAAUCUACUUUUUCGUGGGGGAUAACGUAGGGAAACUUACGCUAAUACCGCAUACGACCUACGGGUGAAAGCAGGGGACCUUCGGGCCUUGCGCGAUUGAAUGAGCCGAUGUCGGAUUAGCUAGUUGGCGGGGUACAGGCCCACCAAGGCGACGAUCCGUAGCUGGUCUGAGAGGAUGAUCAGCCAGACUGGAACGGAGACACGGUCCAGACUCCUACGGGAGGCAGCAGUGGGGAAUAUUGGACAAUGGGCGCAAGCCUGAUCCAGCCAUACCGCGUGGGUGAAGAAGGCCUUCGGGUUGUAAAGCCCUUUUGUUGGGAAAGAAAUCCAGCUGGCUAAUACCCGGUUGGGAUGACGGUACCCAAAGAAUAAGCACCGGCUAACUUCGUGCCAGCCGCCGCCGUAA
rnacentral:rRNA from 1 species